rnacentral:rRNA from 1 species
AGCGAACGCUGGCGGCAGGCUUAACACAUGCAAGUCGAACGGGCGCAGCAAUGCGUCAGUGGCAGACGGGUGAGUAACACGUGGGAACGUGCCUUUCGGUUCGGAACAACUGAGGGAAACUUCAGCUAAUACCGGAUACGCCCGCAAGGGGAAAGAUUUAUCGCCGAAAGAUCGGCCCGCGUCUGAUUAGCUAGUUGGUGGGGUAAUGGCCCACCAAGGCGACGAUCAGUAGCUGGUCUGAGAGGAUGAUCAGCCACACUGGGACUGAGACACGGCCCAGACUCCUACGGGAGGCAGCAGUGGGGAAUAUUGGACAAUGGGGGAAACCCUGAUCCAGCCAUGCCGCGUGAGUGAUGAAGGCCCUAGGGUUGUAAAGCUCUUUCGGUGGGGAAGAUAAUGACGGUACCCACAGAAGAAGCCCCGGCUAACUUCGUGCCAGCAGCCGCGGUAA